rnacentral:rRNA from 1 species
AUUGAACGCUGGCGGCAGGCCUAACACAUGCAAGUCGAACGAGUGGCGGACGGGUGAGUAAUGUCUGGGAAACUGCCUGAUGGAGUGGGAUAACUACUGGCAACGGUAGCUAAUCCCGCAUACCAUCGUAUGUUCCCAGAUGGGAUUAGCUAGUAGGUGGGGUAAAGGCUCACCUAGGCGACGAUCCCUAGCUGGUCUGAGAGGAUGACCAGCCAAACUGGAACUGAGACACGGUCCAGACUCCUACGGGAGGCAGAAGUGGGGAAUAUUGCACAAUGGGCGCAAGCCUGAUGCAGCCAUGCCGCGUGUAUGAAGAAGGCCUUCGGGUUGUAAAGUACUUUCAGCGGGGAGGCGUUACCCGCAGAAGAAGAACCGGCUAACUCCGUGCCAGCCGCCGCGGUAAUAC